AAGUCGUAACAAGGUCUCCGUAGGUGAACCUGCGGAGGGAUCAUUACAAGAACGCCCGGGCUUCGGCCUGGUUAUUCAUAACCCUUUGUUGUCCGACUCUGUUGCCUCCGGGGCGACCCUGCCUUCGGGCGGGGGCUCCGGGUGGACACUUCAAACUCUUGCGUAACUUUGCAGUCUGAGUAAACUUAAUUAAUAAAUUAAAACUUUUAACAACGGAUCUCUUGGUUCUGGCAUCGAUGAAGAACGCAGCGAAAUGCGAUAAGUAAUGUGAAUUGCAGAAUUCAGUGAAUCAUCGAAUCUUUGAACGCACAUUGCGCCCCCUGGUAUUCCGGGGGGCAUGCCUGUUCGAGCGUCAUUUCACCACUCAAGCCUCGCUUGGUAUUGGGCAACGCGGUCCGCCGCGUGCCUCAAAUCGACCGGCUGGGUCUUCUGUCCCCUAAGCGUUGUGGAAACUAUUCGCUAAAGGGUGUUCGGGAGGCUACGCCGUAAAACAACCCCAUUUCUAAGGUUGACCUCGGAUCAGGUAGGGAUACCCGCUGAACUUAA
rnacentral:rRNA from 1 species